ensembl:lncRNA
CUGCAUUGGAGGUCAACUCAGACGUCUGUGACUGCACCACACCCGCUCCACGGCCAGGUUAGAGGCAGUGAAUGCCUGGAUCGUAACCCCCAUCUGUGCCGCAGUGCGUGCGUGCGUGCGCCCGCAUGGCUCAGUGCCGUAUUCGCCUCUCAGUCACCCAAAAACAAAUGUCACCGGGGCGACGGGGAGCGGCAGGUUGCCGCGGCGACCGACCGGUGGCAGGUUGAAGGUGUCUCCGCCCCGCGGUGCCCGGCAGAUGGAGGCUGAGGUCAUUAUCUGCCGCUGCGUUCACCUCCUCCCUGCGUGAUUUCACCGCAAAGCGGCAUCGGAUCAGUGGCGGUGGAACUGGUCGUCGAUGUGAACACGUAUUAUUAGAAGCUUUGCAUCGUGGGAACACAUCCGGGGCGACUUAAAGCAUUUGUGCGGCUGCCAAGUGAGGCUCGUUACGCCGCUUCCCUCUGUGUGUGUGACAAGCGCGUGCCUGUUUACAGGAUGCAGCAUCACAGCUCCACUAAAGGGGAAAUUUCCAGAGCCCCACAGCGGGUCACAGUGUGUGCCCCCCGGUCACAGAACCACCCGGUUCUCUCAUAAACAGCAAAAAUAAAGCAAAAAAAAAAACACGGCAAUGAGUGACCAUUCAGAACAAAUACACCGAGUCAACACCUACACAGAAAAUAGGGCAGCCUGGAAAAAACCCAGCGGGCCGCAGACGGCGGCCGGUCCUGCUCCGCUGUGGUCCAGCUGCACGGAGGCGGUGAAGCCGUGUUUACACGCCUCGCGUCAUGUCAUGUGUGUGCCGCGUGCCACACAGCUGUCAGUUACACAGGGCUCUGCUCGCGCGGGCCUAUGCAGCCCCCCCCCACACACACACACCACCGCUGCAGGCUACCGCUCCCGCCGCUCGGCAGCUCUGCUCUAAGACGGACCCUCGCUCCAGAUGUGUGAUUCGGCGAGUUAUUAGGACAAGGAGCGUUUGUGUUGGUGUGCGUGUGCGUGUGGAGUCUGCAGCGCUGCCGGGUUAUUCCUGUUUGUUUGCUCUCCUGGUUGAGCGGCGUCUCAUUCGGGCCCGCUUUGCAGGCGCACGUGUGGGACCCAGACGUGCUGAAGCGGCGCUCUUUGGCCACGAGUCCCGUUUUACAGAGCGACCGACGCGAGCAAAGAACCGGGCGGUGAGACGCUGAGACCCGACUUUGGGAAACAGAGGGAGCUGAACGCAAGAUCAGGCCCAGAUGGUUAGGUACGGCCGGCUCCUGUUGGUGUGAGGAAGGGAUUACAUAAGUAGAAUUAAAGCGGUGAAAACGGGGACAUGUUUCAUUAGUUUCCCUGAUGCCAGAUCUAUAUUUGGAGCGUGAACCCGCAGCAACAGACGUGCGGGGAUGAAAAUAGCCUUUAACAGCCCAGUUUGGGAGCUUUAUUCCAUUCCACUCUCCUGCCACAAGGAUAGUGACAGACGGAGCACGCUCCACAGAGAGCAGCCCCGGUCGCCCAAUCACAGAGCUCCCCCGGGCAGGGAAGUGUGGGAAAAAGCAGAGGAGGGGAGGAACGGGCGGGUGGAGAUAGAGUGUGAGGCUGUUUGUUGGUCCUGCUAAAGCCAUUCACUGUAACCUUAAUGUUUUACGAGAAAAUCGUGCAUAUUCACAUGCUAAACUUCUGCAAUGCUAGAAACAUCGCACGUUUGCGGUGCAACAUGUGCCCGGUUGUAAAUGGAACGGCCGGCAGAAGAUGGAUUUCAGACAGAAGGACGGACAGCCACAGUCAAUGCUGCUGGAGAUGCGGGGGGCUGGGAGAGAGUGGGUGGUAGGAACCCGAUCUCCUCGUAUUGGGUGCCCGUUGCCCCCCGAGAGAAAGCAAGAAACAAGAGGCCCAGCUGUCCUUAACAAUGGACCUGCCCCUCAGCAGCCAGGACUCAAAAGGCCUCAUUGAGGCUGCAGGCUCUCUGAAGGCGGCUCACAGAGGAACUAGCCAGGACAUGCUCCCGUUGGAGGCCGGCGUGUCUGUCGCUGUUCUCACACGCUUAUGUUGCUUUGUGUUUGUCUGUACGUACACGUUCUCAUGUGAGCGCGUGUACGAACCUACAUUUGCCCCGAUGUGUUGUGGGAGAUUUUUAUUCUAA